rnacentral:rRNA from 1 species
CCUACGGGUGGCAGCAGUGAGGAAUAUUGGUCAAUGGACGAGAGUCUGAACCAGCCAAGUAGCGUGAAGGAUGACUGCCCUAUGGGUUGUAAACUUCUUUUAUAUGGGAAUAAAAUGUUCCACGUGUGGGAUUUUGUAUGUACCAUAUGAAUAAGGAUCGGCUAACUCCGUGCCAGCAGCCGCGGUAAUACGGAGGAUCCGAGCGUUAUCCGGAUUGAUUGGGUUUAAAGGGAGCGUAGGUGGGUUGUUAAGUCAGUUGGGAAAGUUUGCGGCUCAACCGUAAAAUUGCAGUUGAAACUGGCAGGCUUGAGUCAAGUAGAGGUGGGCGGAAUUCGAGGUGUAGCGGUGAAAUGCUUAGAUAUCACGAAGAACUCCGAUUGCGAAGGCAGCUCCCUGGACUGCAACUGACACUGAGGCUCGAAAGUGUGGGUAUCGAACAGGAUUAGAUACCCUAGUAGUC